rnacentral:lncRNA from 1 species
CAAAAAAUAUUCAAAGAGGCAGAAAAUGAGUUCAAAUAUUGCAAUUUCAACUCAAUCUUGAAAUGGUUUUUAUACCAUUUAUUGAUUAAACAAGUCACAUCUCUUUUAAGGCUAAUAUUCAGUACCACAGUAAAUCUGCAUCUUUCAACGGAUUAUGUGUAGGUGUAGGGUCACCAAUACACCCACUUCAAUAGACCACUUUCGAGUUCAUCCAUCACCGGAAAAAACUCGUCAAUUAUACGCGCCUUUAUGACGUCAUUUACCAGAUAGAGGGGGUCGCCUGUAUCCCUGCACUAUUUACGUUCAUCAAGCGUCUUGGUGAUCGUCAUUGUGCAUGAUAAACUAGAAAUAAUGGUUGUUCUGUAGGUACUUAAUGACAAUUCCCUAAUGACAUCAAUGCUGAUUGUCAAUUUUGAGAAUUCAAUUUGUCGUAUAAUUCGUACAAUAUAGAAUUAUAGUUUUCCAACCACUCGCUCAACAUUGGAAUGGAAGUGACGACGCCCCUAAACGCACAAAUGACGUUCACUAAAACCAGAGUUUUUGACGGAAAUGCAUCGAACUCGAAAGUUGUCUAUUAAG